GAUGAACGCUGGCGGCGUGCCUAAUACAUGCAAGUCGAGCGAACGGACGAGAAGCUUGCUUCUCUGAUGUUAGCGGCGGACGGGUGAGUAACACGUGGAUAACCUACCUAUAAGACUGGGAUAACUUCGGGAAAUCGGAGCUAAUACCGGAUAAUAUUUUGAACCGCAUGGUUCAAAAGUGAAAGACGGUCUUGCUGUCACUUAUAGAUGGAUCCGCGCUGCAUUAGCUAGUUGGUAAGGUAACGGCUUACCAAGGCAACGAUGCAUAGCCGACCUGAGAGGGUGAUCGGCCACACUGGAACUGAGACACGGUCCAGACUCCUACGGGAGGCAGCAGUAGGGAAUCUUCCGCAAUGGGCGAAAGCCUGACGGAGCAACGCCGCGUGAGUGAUGAAGGUCUUCGGAUCGUAAAACUCUAUUAUUAGGGAAGAACAUAUGUGUAAGUAACUGUGCACAUCUUGACGGUACCUAAUCAGAAAGCCACGGCUAACUACGUG
rnacentral:rRNA from 1 species